UCCGGUUACGAUACGUCUGAUGGAAACACCCGUUCCCAUCUCGAACACGACGGUUAAGCAUCAGGCGGCCGAAGAUUCUACACUGGUAACGGUGUGGUAAAAUAGGUGGUAGCCGGUU
rnacentral:rRNA from 1 species